rnacentral:lncRNA from 1 species
CCAGUUUUAUAGAUUCAGAUUUCCUUCAUUCAAAGCAGAAAUACCUUCCUGCAGAGACUUUUAUUCACAUGUGAAGAAAUAACACCCAAGGAAACAGCGACUGAAAGAUUUCCUUCCAGGCAGGAGGAGACCUCAGUCACUCAGUUCUGGCAGUGGCAGUGUGUGGAAAGCUUGCUUUGUCUUCUACCCAUUUCAGCUGAAGAAUGGCAGCACAGACGUUUGAGGUCUGCACGGGUUUGGAUCCAGUGCCUAUGUUUUGUUUCCAAGAUUCAGGAACUCUCGCCAUGGGUCUGAGCUCAAUUCUGAAAGCUGGAAGUCCAUGGAGCCCUCCUCCGUUUUAUAGAUGCUGAAAAGGAAGACUGAGAGCUUAUUCAAAUAAAUUUGAAUAAAAUUGGGACGAAAAUUCAGGUCUCCUGAUCUCCCAGGUGAGGGCAAGAUUCUGCCCGUCACCUCCUGGGUCCCCUUCGUGCUUCUAGAGCUUUUCCUAUAAGCCAUCUCCUCUCACCAGAUCUGCAAAAUCAGCUCCUCAAAACAGGCAUGGGUGCCUUGACUUCAGAGAGAACUUAUUUCAAAUCACAACUCCCACCUAUUUGCUGGGUGUCCUUGGGCAAAUUGCAUGAUGUCUCUGUGCUUCUAUUUCCUUUUGUGUAAAAUGUGGCUAAUGAUAUCUCACUCGCAGACCUGCCUUAACUGUCCUGGAGAUAAAUGUUGGACUCUACACACAGACACACCUCCUGAGGGGCAAAUAUGAAUUAUCAGAGCUGACACUGCUGAAAUCUAGAAGGAAACAAAUAUAUUUUCCUGUCUCACCCUGUCUCAUAUUUGAAAGGUUCUUCUCUUGCACAGUGGAGACUGUCUUCCACAGUAUUGUGCAAAAUGCUAUAACUUCCUCUCCAUCACCCCCUCUUUCCAAACGGCACUGUAUGGCCCAUUGGAAAUAAGAAGGGGCCCAUUGCUAAGCCAUCUACCUCUCAGUGACCUCACAAAGGCUAGAGAGAAGCCUGGAAUUACCAGCUGUUAGGAUAAGGAAUGAGGUGUUCUCACUCACAUCAGAGCUCCUUCCCUGCGAUGGAGGGCGGGAGCAACAAGACCUGAAACUCCAAGAGGGAGAUGGUGGCUCUGAGCCCUUUCCUACUGGUUCCAAUGGAAUGAAUGCGAGAGUUAUAAGCAAGCAAAAGGACCCAGGCCACUGGGUGGAGACCCUAACAAAACAGCAGUCUGGGAGCGAGGAUCCCACACGUCUACCUUACCACUGGCCCUGUGGUCCUUCUUGCCGUCAAAGAGGAGCUGGCAGCAGGUUUCAGGCUGAACAAAAGAAC